rnacentral:rRNA from 1 species
AACGAACGCUGGCGGCAGGCUUAACACAUGCAAGUCGAGCGCCCCGCAAGGGGAGCGGCAGACGGGUGAGUAACGCGUGGGAAUCUACCGAGCCCUAAGGAAUAGCUCCGGGAAACUGGAAUUAAUACCUUAUACGCCCUUCGGGGGAAAGAUUUAUCGGGGUUUGAUGAGCCCGCGUUGGAUUAGCUAGUUGGUGGGGUAAAGGCCUACCAAGGCGACGAUCCAUAGCUGGUCUGAGAGGAUGAUCAGCCACAUUGGGACUGAGACACGGCCCAAACUCCUACGGGAGGCAGCAGUGGGGAAUAUUGGACAAUGGGCGCAAGCCUGAUCCAGCCAUGCCGCGUGAGUGAUGAAGGCCCUAGGGUUGUAAAGCUCUUUCACCGGUGAAGAUAAUGACGGUAACCGGAGAAGAAGCCCCGGCUAACUUCGUGCCAGCCGCCGCAGUAAAAC